rnacentral:rRNA from 1 species
UACGUAGGGUGCGAGCGUUAAUCGGAAUUACUGGGCGUAAAGCGUGCGCAGGCGGUUUUGUAAGGCAGAUGUGAAAUCCCCGGGCUUAACCUGGGAACUGCGUUUGAAACUACAAGGCUAGAGUGUGGCAGAGGGGGGUGGAAUUCCACGUGUAGCGGUGAAAUGCGUAGAGAUGUGGAGGAACACCGAUGGCGAAGGCAGCCUUCUGGGCCAACACUGACGCUCAUGCACGAAAGCGUGGGGAGCAAACAGG